rnacentral:lncRNA from 1 species
UUAAUAAAAGCUCGAUAUACAGUAGUAGUGCUUUUGAUUAAAAUAUAAUCCUCAUCAGCUACUAAAAUUAAUGAAAUAUACAAGAAUUCUAUAGAAUGCCCAAAUUCUAAUUUCUAAAUUUUUACUUCAAAAUGUUGGCAACACAAAAUCGCAACACAAGUCAAACGUUUCACGGGAUUACAUCAAGUAAAUUUAUAAUAAGAAAACAUUAAAAUUAUACUAAGUAACUUAACAAUGUAUUGCAUCAUAGAGAAUGAACAACUAAAUAUUCACUGGCUAAAAUAUUGCCGUGGAGUCCGAAUAUUCUCAAAAGUCUGUACUUAAGUAUUCACUAAUUUCUGGAAAUAUUACACCAUUUCCAAGCAUUACUUAAUGAGGCAGGAUCUAACUUAUUAAUUGGUUUACAUCUCUUGCUUCGGUUGGUGUAGAAUGCCACCGUUCCGCGAUCUUCCCUCUCUUAGGGUCUUGUUCUCUACGCAACAAUUUACUGUUAGUCCACUCAACCUCUAAGUCUGAUGUAAGUGCAUGUUGCACUAAUGCAGUACUAGUAGCUUUUUUCUCUGUCUUUUUUAUGUUCCUGGAUCCGCCUCUUUAGGGAACGUGCUGUAUAACCGAUAUAGUUGCACUGGUAUUCGUAGAAAGGGAUCUGAUAUACUCCAGGGAAAUAUAUGUCGUUAAUCCUAUCCUUGUCAUUCCUGAUACGGCUGAAUAGUGUAUUUCUUCUGUUAAAGAUGAUUUUUUGGCCAGAAAGUUUCUCCAGUUUCCUCUUAAAUUUCAAUGAGAUGGAAUUAAAAUGUCCAUCAUAUACACUAGCUUAUCGUCUGUUUGUCUAUUACUUGUGGCAAAGUGAAAUUUGGUAUUUUCUUGUAAAUUGUUCAGCA